UCAGUGAUCAGGAGAGAACACAGACAACUCACCAUGGAGUUUGCACUUGGCUGGGUUUUCCUUGUUGCUCUUUUAAAAGGUGUCCAGUGUGAGGUGCAGCUGGUGGAGUCUGGGGGAGACCUGGUGAAGCCUGGGGGGUCCCUGAGACUCUCCUGUGCAGCCUCUGGAUUCACCUUCAGUAGAUCCAGCAUGAACUGGGUCCGCCAGGCCCCAGGGAAGGGGCUGCAGUGGGUCGCAUAUAUUAGCUAUGAUGGAAGUAGCACAUACUAUGCAGACUCUGUGAAGGGCCGAUUCACCAUCUCCAGAGACAACGGCAAGAACACACUGUAUCUGCAGAUGAACAGCCUGAGAGCCGAGGACACAGCCGUGUAUUACUGUGCCAGUGACACAGUGAGGAGAGGUCAUUGUGAGCUCAGACACAAACCUCCCUGUAGGAGGUGA